CCUUGAGACUGCCCUCGCCCGCAUGCGUCUAAGUCCGAACUUGGGGGUCUAACAUAAAGCCUUUGGCCUCACAUGCCGCUUCAACCAAACACGGCUUCUCUAAAAAUUAAAAAAAAAAAAAACUAAAGAGAAGUUUACCGGUGAGGAUUGAGGAAGAUCGUUUGUUAAUUCAUCUAUUCUCUGAUUAUUUCACAUAAACCCUACCAACUUUGAUUAUUUAUUUUGUGGGACAAUCUUUUUGUUGCUACAAUUGCAUCUUUUGAUCAGUUUGUCAUCUUUUUCGCUCUGUGUGUCGUAUUGGAAAAUUCUGGUGGGAUUCCUUUUAUUUGUGGUUCACCAGAUGUGGCUCAAUGUAUCUACUUUGGGACUCAGUAAGGUAGAUAUUGAUGUGAAUGAUAAAUUAAACUUAUAUAGCAUAUUAUACCAGGAAGGAAAAGGAAUCAGUGCAAUGAAAUGAUUGAAAUUUGUUUUGUUCGACUGAUGUAUGCCAGAAACUUCCUAUUAGUUGACAAAAGGAAUUUGGAUUAGACAAAAGUAGUUUUGUUUCAGGGGUUAAUUGAAGUUUGUUUUCAUGGUGCAAUUAAACUACCAAAAGUAUAGUGAUCUGUGCGGACCGAUUGAUACAGAGAAUACGUGAGUUUGCAGGGUUGGUUUUGAGGCUUUAUUCGGAAGAUAAAAGCUGGAUGAGUUAUUAAUCAUAGUUGUUCUUUCUUUCUUCCUUACCAUUUUUGAAGCAUAUGCUAUUCUACCUCUGAAGUUGGUUGUUGCUUUAUGCGGAGGGAAUCUAAAGUGUGUGCAAAGGGCAUGAGUUUCGACCCCUCCGAGGGAAAUAAAAAAAACAGAUCCCACACAACAACUUCCACCAACGAAGUGUCCAGGCAAAUUACCUUGAUUAUUUCAGGGGCAGAGCCAGAUAAAGCUUAAUUGCAUAUUUCUGUUUGGAGAUGUAGAUUCAGGAGGAAAAGGUUUGGUGAUUUUUCCAAAGCUUGGCCGUUCACUCUUUCUUAUUGUACAAGGCAAUUCUCUAUCUUUCUCAGUCUCUUCAUAACAUGUUAUUCACUUUACUAAGUUUGGGCUGAAAUAUCGACUUAACUUUUUCUUAUUGAAGAUUUCUGUUGUUUCUGAGUCUUUGAAAGCUUUGAAAAAUGGAGUAUAAUGAAAUCUUCAGUCUUUUUUGUUGGAAAACAACGCAACCCAACACUUUCUGGAAACUCAGUUGUAAGAAUUCUUCAAACAACAUCAUAAAGUAUUUUAUUUCCAUUCAAAUUUUGUAUUCUGUCUGUCUCUAGAACAGUCGUGGGUUUGAAGUACGAGAUGAAAUCAUACUUUUCUCUAUCAAGUCAAAUAUUGUUGAAAAAAAGUAAUUCCAACAUGAAAACUAUUUCUUUCUAAAACUUUCCAAGAUCACAGCUUCCAAGCUCUCAUAGUGUAUGUAAAACUUUCCAUAAACUAUUUCUGUCUGUCAAUUAUCCUUUUUGUGCUAAUGGCUGUGACUAAAGAUUUCAAUAUAUAGUAGAAAGAGUGAGGGAGGAGAUGUAUCGCGAAACAUGCAUCUUCGACUAAUUGAUGAUUAUUCAACCCAUUUUAUGCAUUUUAAAGUGAUUAGAUCUUUAAUUAAUCAGCACAUAAUAUUAUUUGUCCAAUUUAUCAGUACUAAGACUCUAUUACCAAAUCAGGAUAGGUAAAAAUGAAAAUUAUUGUUGUGUGUGAAUAUGUAAUUUAAUUUUUGUUGUGCCUCAUGUGUGUUUUGGUAAUCCUGAUCUCUUUCUUUUUUCUUUGCCGGGAGAUCCAAAAGUCCUUUAAGUCACUGUCUUUCAUGCUAUGACUCUGAAUUUCUUUUGGUCAGAUCAUGAUAAUUUGGCAAACCAGGAGAUGUUUACAGAUUUGGUAUUAUUUUCCUUUUGAUUUUUCAUCUAAUAGGCAUUCUUGUGUUAUUUUCAAAACAACACUACAGAGAGAAACGAAAAGGAAAACAUGAUCUAGAUCUAAAAUUCAGUUUCCAUCGCAGCAUUGAAGUUUGAAAGACACAAUUAAGGAGGAUUAAUUAAGGUAAGUCUAAAAAAUUUUCAAAACCAAAGGGACACCUUCAUCUCGCAUUUACUCUCUUUCUAAUCUGUGAAAUUCUCCAGUUUUGUUAGGCUGCAAUUUCCAUCUGGCAUGAUUUCCUUUCGAAAUCUGUCAAACUUUGUUGGACUCAUACAAUAUGAAUUCAUUUUUUUUACAAGUUGUGUUGCCCCUGUUCGUUUGUCGCAGCAUUAGAACUGCAGAUAAAUGUUUCACCUUGAAAUGGGGCUUCUUCAAAUUGUGAGUUUUCUUGAUCCUUUUCAGUUCCUUUUUUGCAUAUUCUCUUCCGCCUCUCCAAUAACAUUUUAAAUUGAUGUGGAUUGUCAGGCUUUAUCAGGCUAACAUGUUUCUCUAAACAUAUAAAGUUGUGAGUUUUCAUGAACCUAUUCGACUUCAGUUCUGCAUCUAAUCCUUUGCCUGCCCAGUAAUACUUUUACAAUGUUGGAGUUGCUUUGGAUUAUCAGGAUAAAACUCGAAAGUAGUAUGCUGUUUUGUUUAAAAAUCAAGAAAUUUUGUGGAAGAGAGCCCCAUUGU